GAGGCUGAAGGAGGCUGACUGAGGCUGAAGGAGGAUGAUUGAGGCUGAAGGAGGCUGACUGAGGCUGAAGGAGGAUGAUUGAGGCUGAAGGAGGCUGACUGAGGCUGAAGGAGGAUGAUUGAGGCUGAAGGAGGCUGACUGAGGCUGAAGGAGGAUGAUUGAGGCUGAAGGAGGCUGACUGAGGCUGAAGGAGGCUGACUGAGGCUGAUUGUGAGUAAAGGAGGCUGAUUAGGGCUGAUUGAGGCUUUCUGUUCUUUUUCUUUAACUGUACUGCCAUCCUUUGUGGGCGGUGCUUAGAGUGUCUCUUCCUUUCUCUCUGAAACGUCUCAAACCAAAAUCAAUCUGCUCAGAGGUCCAGUUGUUCCUUUGAAGCUCACCAGCAUCCUCUGUCCCUGUCCUGACCUGCUCUGGUUCUGGUUCUUAGAACCCUCAGACCCAGCUGCUGGACUGGAAACCAUUAAAACCAUGAGAUGGUUCCCACCUACAUGUGACCUUCUGAGAUGUUUCCUUCAUUCUGACCUCCAACAACAAAAACCAGCCAGAGAAUCCGGAUCAGAACCAAAUCUGUGGGUCUAGAAAGAGUCCUAGAAAAGAACAGAGUAGUUGUGUUUAGAAGGUUCUGGAGUUAAAAGGUGAGACCAGAUGAAGUCAGAACCGUCCUGCAGCAGGUUCCUCCCAGCCCUCCGUCUCAACACUCGUCAGAACCAGCAUUCCCAAUCCCCUUAACUCCGACCCGUUUGGACCUGUGGCUGUUCUCUGCUCUGCUGGCGGUUCGGGCCCAGCUGUUGUUUGGGACCGCUUGAAGGAACCCGUGGUGCUUCCUGUUCUUCAGUCGGUUCUGAUGGUGCCUUCAGAACCAGAACCGAUCAGAGUUUAAUCGGACUAAAUUCUCAUCUUUCCAACAUUUGGCCCAAAACAGCCGGCUUCUGGUUAAAGCCACCUGCUCUUCAGAUUGUUCUGGAGAACAUUCCGGAGCUCCAUAAACCUGGAGAAUCCAACCCGACUCGGGAAUAUUUCAGACGGUGCCAAAGCUGUAGGCGGCGCCAUGGUUUCCUUCACCCCCCCACCCCCCUGAGCCUCCCUCAGCCGUCUCUGAUCCGAACCACAUCAGAACCGAGCCCGCCCCCAGUAGGGCCUCGGUCUCUCGCUCAGAAGACGUUUUUUUUUUUUUCUUUCCAUCCGUUUCUCACGCAGUGCUGUGAAUCGUUGAGCUGUGAUUCUGUCCUGGUUCUGUCCUGGUUCUGUGGGGUAUCUUCGCUCUCAGUGUGCCACGCCCCGGCCUGUGCGACGCUUAACAUGAUGUCUUAUCAACCAACAAGUGAUCGGGGAACAUAGAGUUCUUCUUCUAUUCUUAUUAUUCUGCUUCUUAUGAUGAAGAUGGUGACUAUUAUUACUGUAUCAUCGUCAUCAUCCGACCAUGAUUAUCCUCAUAAUCGGUUCACUUUGUUGUUUGCCAUGUAUUUUUAUUUUCAGAUUUUUAUUUUAGUUUCCUUUUUAUUAUUAAAGUGAAAUGAACUAACAGA